CCCUACGGGGUGCAGGCAGAGGGUAUUCGGCGGUGGUGAUGGGGCGGAUGUUUUCUGGUGAGAGCUUCAUUGGCUUGCCGGCGCGAUGACCUGCCUCGAUCACGGUUUUGGCGAAAUCGCACCAGGUGGUCACUCCGCCGGAGGCAAGAUGAUAGAGCCCGUAGGGAAAUUGGUCCACUCCGGCCCGCUGAUAUUGGCCAAUAGCCUGUGCGGUUACAUCAGCGAUCAGAGCGGCGGAGGUAGGGGCGCCGAACUGGUCAGCAACCACCUUGAGAGUCUCGCGAUCCGCUGCUAGUUUGAGCAUUGUUUUGACAAAAUUGGAACCGUGAGCACCAAAAACCCAGCAGGUACGGAAGAUGAGAUGUUUAUCCGUGCUCUGCCGGAGAGC
rnacentral:rRNA from 1 species